UAGUAGCUCAACUGGAUAGAGCGACAGACUUCGGAUCUGUAGGUUGCGGGUUCGACUCCUGCCUGAC
rnacentral:tRNA from 2 species